rnacentral:lncRNA from 1 species
AACCCCGCCCCUCCCUGCUGCUCUUGUCUGUUGCUGCUUUUGGUACCUAAUCUUGGCUCUUUGGACUGCAGGCGUUACACGAUGAAAAAGGUAUUCGAGGCUCCAGUGUCCCUGCUCAGGUCAGGACCAUCGACUAAUGGAGUCCUUAACCAUCUGCCCCAUCCACAACAGCUCAGAAAAGUACUUGAGCUUAGAAGGAGGGGACCCUCACCAUACCUGAUGGUGACUCCAUGUGCCCCCGGCAGGUCCGCGUGUUUAAGGUGCUGUAAUGAAACCAGCAUCGCCGCAAUAUUGAUGCACAGUUUGUGCAGUUUCAUUUUCACAAAGACAAGGACGGGAAAAAAGAUUUUUUUUCUGAAGAAUUCCCAACUGUGUGGAAACACUUUUGGGUCGGCGGGUAGAGAAAAUCAUUCUGGGUACAUUUAUGGCCCCUAACUCUCCUGCCGAAAAACACCGACAUUGCGAAACUUUGUCCCUUAUUGUUUUUUGAUGCAUUCGAGUUCUGUUUCAUGACCAAGGCCAGAAAGAUACCUAGAAAAAAAUAAUUCUUCAGGAGUCCAGUUGAUAGAGGACUCGAUAUGUUAAGUAUGAGUUUGGUUUUUUGCUUGACAGAGUGCGUCACUGGAAAUGCAGCUUGAUUACACACCACGCG